GACGAACGCUGGCGGCGUGCUUAACACAUGCAAGUCGAGCGGAGCGGCGAACGGGUGAGUAACGCGUGAGUAACUGCCCCCCUCUCUGGGAUAACAGUUGGAAACGGCUGCUAAUACCGGAUAGUUGGGGAUGACUCGCGUCCUAUCAGCGUGUUGGUGGGGUAGUGGCCUACCAAGGCGGGGACGGGUAGCCGGCCUGAGAGGGGGACCGGCCACUGUGGGCUGGGAUACGGCCCAGACUCCUACGGGAGGCAGCAGUGGGGGAUAUUGCACAAUGGGCGAAAGCCUGAUGCAGCGACGCCGCGUGGGGGAUGAAGGCUUGCGGGUUGUAAACCUCUUUCGCUAUCGAAAGGGUAGGUGGAGAAGAAGCGCCGGCUAACUACGUGCCAGCCGCCGCGGUAAUUC
rnacentral:rRNA from 1 species